rnacentral:lncRNA from 1 species
GAAACCUCAGAUUCAGAUUUCUCAUUUCAUACUCUCCCUUUCAAGUUCAAACUUUCACCUGUAAGAUCUUUGAUCACAGCAAAACCAGCAAACAAUCAGAAAAAAAUGAGUGCAGCGUGCAGAGCUUGGAUUGUGGCAGCAAGUAUUGGAGCAGUUGAGGCACUCAAAGACCAAGGAGUCUGCAGGUGGAAUGGGGUUCUGAGAUCAGUCCACCAACAUGUCAAGAACAACAUCAGAUCCUAUUCCCAAGUCAAGAAACUCUCCGACUCUUCGUCUUCUGCAAUUUCUAUGAAGAUGCAGAGAUCACAGGAAGACAAGUUGAGAAAAGUCAUGGAAUUGAACUGUUGGGGUCCUAAUACCAUAAGAUUUUAGAUUCUAAUUAUGUAAUUUAGAUUUAGGGUUUAUGAGUAUUGGAUUAUAUGUCAUCCCUUUUAUCAUGAGAAUUAAACGACUUAUUUCAUUGCUCAUUGUCAUUGGAUAAAAAUGGCGUUGUCAAAUUUUAAGAUCAGUGUUCUGGUGAUUGUUUUAAGCCCUGAACUUAUUAAACAAAUCCAUGAACAGGAACCAUGAACUCUUCCGGUAGAUCCAUAUCAUAAAAGCAGUCUUAACAUGGAUUUGAUGAAUUUUAAAAUUAUCUUUUGCUGCAAUAGUAAUCAAUUAACAUACAGAUGGAUGCCAUCCUUUUGGCUCGUGUGUGUGUGUGUAUAUAUAUAUAUAUAUAUGUCAAAGCACUCAGUCAACAAUUUAGGAUAGGAACCACAUCCUUAGACUUUGAGAAUAUGAUAGGAAGGUUGUUGGCCUUACUAGCUCGUAUAAUGUCAUAUUUAACUUCUUAACAAGUUAUUUUCGAGGAUGCCGUGGUAUUGCUUGCUCCAUCAGGCAGGUUGAGUGGAACCAUAUUUACAAUGAGGUUAACUUUGUCGUGGACGCAUUGACUUACAUUGGUCUUUCUGUGGAACCUCCACAUGUUUGGGAUCACUGCUUACUUGCUAGUGCCCUCAUUGCUUUUAAUUUUGAUUGUAUUGGAAAACGGUUGUACUCGUGACUUUUCGCUUUGUUACUAGUUCUUUUUUGGAUUAAAAAAAAAAAAGCACAUUGUCCUCGAAUAAUAUGGACUACUCAAGUUUCUAAAGAAAUUUGGUGUAAAGUCUUAUUCGAUGUAGACCUAAGCAAUAUUUUAAUUUGAAUAAUACUAGAAAGAUUAAAUUUUUAAACUAAAUUUGCAAACUAAAUGAUGUGUCAUUAAUAAAAAAUAAGCAUGUUAAUCAAUAGUUAAGUAAUAAUUCAAUUAUUAACAUUUACACCAUUUAGUUUAUAAAUUUGGUUUUCCUAACAUUACCCUUUUAAUUUAGUUUAAACUAGGAAGGAGAAAUUAGAAAUUAGAAGCAAUCUUGUGGAAAAUGAGUAAAUUAUAUUAGUCAAUUAAACUGAAAAAGCUAUGCACACUGCUAAUUGUGACCUUUCUUUCUUGCACGACUUAAUUCAAAAAGGAAUUUGGGUCAAAGUGUGUAUUAAAAAAAGUAUGAUUAUACAAAAAUGAGGAAUAUUAGCGACCUUCCCAUUUGAGACAUUUUCAUUCUAUUCUUGGCUCUCCUCAUUUUGCAAUAUUUUUUGUUGAUCAUAAUCAUUUACUUUCUUGAUUACUUUUCAAAGAUUACUUAUACAAAAAACUAACUAAAUCCAAAUCAUUUAAUUAUCUAAUUGUUAACCAAUAAAUAGAUGUAACAUAUUUCUCAGUUAAAUAAGAAAUUUUUGACAACGUUAAUUAAACAGUUAAAUAAUUUCUGCUUUGGUGAUUUUUUUGAAGUUGAUCUUUAGAGAGUGAUCUAAAAAGUGAACAGACUACGAUUUUCCUAAAAAAAUUACCUAUACGAAAAUAGUAAUAAUACGGACUGCAUUUUAAAUUUUUAACUCCUUACAUUGGAGAUAGCAUAAUUGACCUAAAAUCAAAGACCCCUAAUUCAAAUUUGGUGUUUUGGAAUACCAAAAACAGAAAAACCGAAAAACAAGAAAAGGACGUGGCUACUGACUCCCCCAAAGAGGAGCGUUUAACUACCCUUUGACUCAUGACCUAAAAAUGCAUGUGCUUUUUGCCCAUUGUUUUGCAACCCUCUUUGUAUCACCACAGAUUUAUAUCCCUCAUACUGGUGGCUGUGCCUUGAUUUUCGCUCUCCUUCUCCUAUUUGCUUCCUCUAUAUAUAUGCAUAAAUAAAUUCAAGAAUCCUAGAUUCAGAUUUCUCAUCUGCGAGACGGCCAGUAGUCUCUGACUUGGUCUUCAAAUCGUAAGUUUAAGCUUGUUUUCAGCUUUUGCCUCGCUUUCAAUUGAAAGGAAUCUGAAUCUCCCUUUAAAACAAAAUGAAAUCAUAAUCCCAAAACAUUAGACAACAUAAAUUACUUUUUUGUCAACAACACGGCCCUUUUUCGGAUAUCGGUUAUUUCAUACUCUCCCUUCCAAACUUUCACCCGUAAGAUCUUUGAUCACAGCAAGCUCAGAAAACAAUCAGAAAAAAAAUGAGUGCAGCGUGCAGAGCUUGGAUUGUGGCAGCAAGUAUUGGAGCAGUUGAGGCACUGAAAGACCAAGGAGUCUGCAGGUGGAAUGGGGUUCUGAGAGCAGUCCACCACCAUGCCAAGAGCAACAUCAGAUCCUAUUCCCAAGCCAAGACACUCUCCGACGCUUCGUCUUCUGCAAUUUCUAUGACGAUGAAGAGAUCACAGGAAGACAAGUUGAGAAAAGUCAUGGAAUUGAACUGUUGGGGUCCAAAUACCAUAAGAUUUUAGAUUGUAAUUAUGUAAUUUAGAUUUAGGGUUUAUGAGUAUUGAAUUAUAUGUCACCCCUUUUUCCAUGAGAAUUAAACGAGUUAAUUGUUCUGGCGAUUGCUUUAAACCCUGAAGAACUCAUUUAACAAGCCCAUGAACAAGAACUAUGAACUCUUCCGGUGGAUCCAUAUCAUAAAAGCAGUCUUAACAUGGAUUUGAUGAAAAGAUUUAACUUUUGCUGCAAUAAUAAUCAACAAACAAGAGAAAUUUUUAGUUGCGAUGGGAAUACAGAUGGUAUACUAUGUGUUUUUAUUCAAGUGGUGGAAAAUUUUAAUUUUGAAGUUAUUAACCUUUUAACACACAUACCCACCAUUUAUAUAGGGACACAUGGUGUACCACCUCGUGUGACAGUCACACUAAAAAAUCUCUCAACAUACAGAUGGAUGUGAUCCUUUUGGCUCGUAAAUUUAUGGAACUGGAUCCUCUCCUGAGCUCAGGAUGGGGAUCCUCUGAGUAGCCCAUUCAGGGCGUUCAAAUUUGAUCCAACGGCUGCAAACAGAAAGCUCCUCUAAAAGUUAUAAUAAUUGCAAUCGUUGGAUCAAGUUUGAAUGGUCCGGAUAGGCUGCUCAUGAGGAUCCCCAUCCUGAGCUCAGGAGAGGAUCCAGUUCCGUAAAUAUAUAUCAAAGUACAAUCAACUAUUUAGGACGAGGGACCACAUCCUUAGACUUUGAGAAUAUUAUAGGAAGGUUGUUGGUCUUCCCAGCUCAUAUGGUCUCUUAUUUAACUUAUUAACAAGUUAUUUUUUGAGAAUGGUUUUCAAAAAGUAACGUUUUCUCCAAAAAUUUAAGAGUGAUGUAUUCUCACCAUAAUGUUUUAUCUCCUCACCUACUUUUUAAUUAAAUUUUUAAUUAUAGGUUUGUCCAUUAUAAAAUAACCGAUAAAAACCUUGAAAAACAUCAUGGGAAAGUAUACAUUUUCUACUUGAGUUGCAACACACUAAAAUCAAGGUUUCCUUUGAAAAAAGUUUGACAGUGAAGCAUCAUGAUUUUUGACAUUCAAAGUUCAAUUCAUGGAAGUUCUCAAGGCGUGUUUAACAAUCCGUAAUCAGAAUGAAAAGAAAGAGUCUGAUUCCGAUUACGGUUUAUACCUGUGUUUACUAAAAUUUAAAGGAAUCAACAGUGUGUGGGACCCACACAAAUAAUGGAAUUCAAUUCCGGGAGAGUGAGUGAAUCCGGAAUUCAUUUGCUCUUCCUAUUAUGCCCUCUUCUCUUAUCAAUACGCCGUUCAACCCAACAAAUUAAUCUCACGAGCUUGAAUUCUGGUUAGGGGUGGGCACGGGCCGGGUCGGGCCUAAAUUUGGAGGAAUCGGACUCGACCCAUUUUAAAUUGCAACGGGCCGGGCCAGGCCGAGUAAUGAAAUUUCUAAAAUUGAAACCGGACCUAACCUAGCCCGUUUGAAACGAACCGGUUCGGGCCAGGUCCACGGGUCCAAUAACAUUUUUUCAAGAACAUAUUUGGGUCUACAAUUUUUUUAUUAGAACAGGCUUGGCCCAUUUGAAGACAACAACUUCAUUCAACCAGUUUUCCCGUUCUUAUCAUCCAACAACAUUUAAACUGUAAAAUAUGUAGACAACCAUUCCCAAUCAUCAAAUUAUAACUGCAAAUCAUAAAGCGUAGCAAUUUAAAGCAUAUGGAAUUUAGUAAGAAAACCAAUGAACAUGAAUAAGUUCAAUAUUAGUCUAUUUUGCCUUACAAGUCCAGCAAGAUCCUUUACAGAAUGAUUUUCCAAAGCUAAACUAAAACCAAAACUAAAAUCAAAACCUAAGCAAAACUAAUUAAAUCCAAAAAAUUUAGAAACUACAUCCCCAAAUUCAGUAACCCAGAAAUUUCAAAAAUCCUAAUUCAAAAGUCCUAAAUCCCUAAAUUUAGAAACCCAGAUAAUUCAAAAACCCUAAUUUAGAAAUUACCUUAAUAUGAGAGAAGAUGAUAUGAUAUUUUGAAUCACAGGAUGAUGGUGGUGUUCUCGACAGCGGUGACGGGUGGUCGCAUUCGGGAGGAGACCAUGGUGAUGGUGGUGUUCACAAGAUGACUCGACUCGAGUGAGAAAGGGGGAGCGAUAACUCUGAUCUGGGAGCAGAUGGUGUAGGGGAAGCACCUAUGUACAUCGUCGUGGCUUCAAUGAGAGGAAGAGUGAACAGUGGAGGAGGCGCUGAGGAAGCAGUGGGAGGUGAAGUGAUGGCGAGACGGCCUGCAGGGAGAAGAAACCAAGGUUCUAGAGAUGACAAAGGUGGAUGAGGGGGAGAAAAAUCAAGCCCUAGAAUCUAUGAGGAGGCAACCUGGAAGUUAAGAGAUGAUGGCUCCUGAAAAAAUAUACUUACAGGCUUUGAGAGAGAAGACGAGAGUUAGUGACAGAGAGGUGGAAAUAAGAUAUGUGGUAGAAAUUAAUGGUGGAGAUUUAAUCUCCAUAGAAUGGACGGUGGAAACGGUCCUACUCAGGUACCCGUUUUUUCAGAAAUUUGGACCCGACCUGCCUCGCCAAUUACAUGGACCCGCCCCGUAGGUCAUAGACUCGUUUGCCCACCCCUAAUUCUGGUAGAGUAAGGGAAUCAAAAAUCCGAUAGGUUCAGGAGAUUUGCAGGUUGCAUACGAGAUCUUGUUCCCGAACACCGGAUCACCGUCGUUCAGGAGGCGAUGAACCAGCCGCUUCGACAUCGCCGACAUGCAGCGUGGACGUAGCUCCAAGAUGAUGACGUCAACGUCAGUAUCUCACAGACGUGCUUUUCGCUCACCUAUUCAUCUUUCUGUGACAUUGUUUUGGCGACCGCGACCUCGAGGUCUAAUUUCUGGGUUUUUUCUUCCGCGGAGGGAAGAUGAUUGUGGCUGGGCUCUUACUUCGGCUUUUGCACAAUAGUGGACUUUAACUCUGUUGAUGCACAAAACCGGAGGUCUUGGAACAACGUAAAUCCGACCGUGAAUCUGCAUGAAAUGUAAAUAACACAAGAUGUAUAGUGGUUCAUCCUAAGGUUUGGGCUACGUCCACACUGAUUAUGUAUUUAUCUGAGGGAGAGAGAGCUCUGAGAGUUAGAGCUUUGAGAGGGGGUGAGGAGCCUUAGGAAUUGGCAUCCCCCUGUUGUGAGGGUGAGGAGUCAUUUUAUAUAAUAAGGGCUCCUCACUUAUUACAUAUUUGCCCCUUCCUUUAUUACAUAAUUACAUUUAAGUCCCCUGAGUAUUUGUACGAGAUCUAAAUACGGAGGCCCUAAAUAUGGUAUAAACAGUAGUCCCUGAAGUCUUCAGUCAAAAAAGUCUUUUGGAUGGAGACUUGAAAUUCAGUCUAUGUGUGGGCUGAAGUAGCUAGAUGUUAUCUUGAACUAAUACUUGAUAUGAGGCGGUGCUUAAAGUGAAAUACUGCUCAACUUGAAGUAACACAUGCUGCGAGGCUGCUCUGCUUGUGGCUUAUGUUGCCUUGGUUGGCUCGGCUUGUGGCAUUGAAGGUGAGGGAGUCCCUUUUAUAGAAUAAGGGCUCACUCCUCAAUACAUAAAUGCUGGGCUAGAGUUGAUGCUCGAGGCGAGGCAGUUGCUCAGUAGGCGGCGAUGCUUUCUAAUGAUGGUGAGGGAGUCCAUUUUAUAGAAUAAGGGGUCGCUCCUCGGUACAUGAAUAAUGGGUGCUCUCUAAUGAAAGUGAGGGGGUACCUUUUAUAGAAUAAGGGCUCGCUCCUCAAUACAUAAAUAAUGGGCUAAGUCCCCCAAGUAUUUUUUUAUGAGGCCCAUUUGAGGCCCAAUAUAUGGUGUAUAGUGUAGUCCCUCAAGUCUUCGGUCAAUAGAGCCUGUUUGCUGGAGACUUCAAAUUGAAUCCAUGUAUGGGCCGAAGUGGCGGUUGUUCGGAGGCGGUAUUUGUAUACCUUGCACUGAAGCUUUGUAGGUGAAGCUUUGCAAGUGAAGCUUUGAAACUAGAGCUCUGUAAAUGAAGCUUUUGAAGCUAGAGCUUUGUAAAUGAAGCUUUUGAAGAUAGAGCUUUUUGUAGCUUUUGAAGCUAGAGCUCUGUAAAUGAAGCUUUUGAAGCUGAUUGACAUGAGUGAUGCUCAUGAAUUUUUAUGUUGAUUGAUAUGAGUGAUGCUGAGUGCAUGAUGUUGUCUGAUGUCCUUGUGAUGCUGACAUGAAUGUGUUGUUAUGUAUGAAUGUAAUGCUCAUGAAUGUAUUUGAUGGCCUGGUUGGUUGGUCAUGAUGGCUCAUGAAUGAUAUUGUAUGAGUUUAAUGUGGUGGCAUGCUCAAAUAAUUUGGAGUAAUGGGCGUACUUUUGAUGACUUGGUGGUGGUUGCGGCAGAGUACCUUUUUUUUUUUGCACCUGGUGGUGGUGAAUGGCGUUGCCUGAUUUAGAGACUUAAAUUUUCAUCACUGAUGGUGCUUGACUUUUUGAUGCUUAUUUUGAUUUACAUGAUGGGGUUCAUUGAUGUCUCCAUGAAUAAGUUUGAAUGUAGGCCCUGGUGUUAUUCAAUUCCUUGGCUUUAACUUUUUGGUUUUCUUUUGAUUUUUUCUUGGUUUUGGGGCUUUUAAUUUUGUUUCUACUGUUUACUUGAUGACUUUGAUGGUAAUAGGGCAUUUGGAUAAUCUCCGAACUUUCAUCACCUGGUGUGCCUAUUAUUUUGUAGACAAUUGGUUGCUUUCGGGCCUGGUGCCUUUUUUUUUUGCUUUUUGACCCUGAUUUCUUAUGAUGUCCUUUUUAAAAAAAAUUUCACCAUUUCUUUGUUUUCCUUCUUUGCUUUCUUCUUUUGUUUUUUUUGCUUUUUUUCUGUUUCUUCUGCUUUUCUUUCUGCUUUCUACUUUGGAUAUGUCGCUUGAUGACAUGAUUAAGGGCAACAGGGGUAAUCGUGACAGAAAUAGAAAAUAUUGUGGUAGGGGUUCUCAUGGCUUGAAGCAUGUGGCUCCUUUAUUGCUGAAGGGAUGGCAUGGUUGCUUUCGGCCUGGUUGCCUUUCUUUUGCUUUUGCCUUCCCCCAUCUUUGUUGUUUUUUUUUCCUUUUGGCUUAAAGAUUUCAAACCCCAACUUGCAAGCAUCUUUUCCAUCUGACACGCUUUCACCCAAAUCGGGUGAUUGAGAAAUGAUGUAUGGAUUCGGUGCACAUAGUGAUAGGACAAGUGCCGCAAGCUUGCAUAAUGAUAGGACAUGUGCAGCAAGCUCUUCUCUUUGCCCACCAUCGCCAGAUCUGAGCUGCUUUAUUUGACCAAGAUAAUCCUGUUCACAACAUCAACUGGCAAAGCAUAAGUUGGAUCUAGGGCCUUCACCUCGGGAUAUUCAAGAAGGAAAAGUCCAGCUACACCAAAGUAUGUGUGGUAGACAUCAACAACAUCUUCUGGUCUGUCAGAAAUUUUUCCAUUUUCAAUGUCCUGGAAGUCUAAAAUGAAUUUGACAAGUUUUUCCUUAUCAAUCCAAUGAACUCUGUUAAUCAUGACCAAACUUGAAAGAACCCACCAUGAGAGUGCAGAUGAAUCAAGCGAGGCAAAACGCGGACCCUCUCAACGACGUCGGUUUUGGAGUCGAAGUCGGAGCGAACCUCAAGGUCAAGGAGCGAACCUCAAGGUCGAAGAGCUUGGAGAGGAAGAAAGAGCGGUCGAGAUGACUGACGAGCUUGCGGAUCUGGUUGGUCCGUACAGAAACGAGGCUUUUUGUUGUCGCCGUGUUGGCCGUCCUCUUGCUCGAAGAUAUAUAUACUUAAUUUGUAUGUGACUUACAGGAUUGACACCGCGGCUUCUAAUGGCUGAACCCAUUUGAAUGGCAGCGUCAUAAACCUCUUGAUACGUAAGCCACACAUACGGACCCACCUUUGUGUCGCUGACCUAUCGCCGUCCAAGCAUUGGGUUGCUCGGAUAGUUCUUAGCAGAGUCACCGCAUGCACAUGGCACUUUUACUGCUCCGUCUGGACAAGCAGCUUGGAGUUACCACAAGAUGUAUUCCGUGGAGGGGAAGAUAAAGGGCUCGUUCAGGAAAAGCUUCAGGUGGCUUAAAAGAUAAGUACACCCAAGUGCUUUAUGGCUGAGGGUUGGCGCGGGAGACUCCCAAAAAUGCCUUGAGAGAGCACUUCGACAAGCACGGCAAGAUCUUGGAGGCCGUCAUCACCUCCGACCUCCACUUCUGCACUGAUUCGUUGGGUACGACGUCGUUCUCGCCGUUGUAAUCCUCGUCGAGCUGUAGAGAGUCAGCAAGGGAGCGAGCGAGGGCACGUGCGACUUGAACGCUAGCGCGUAGCUGUGGAAUUCAUCCCGUGCUUCUGAGGGAAGCUGUGGAUGAGGUCUUUGCGGACGUUGCUCAUGGAUUUUUUCUAAAAAGGGGUGGUCAAAUUUGGUGGUUGGGAUCUCCUAAUGGAGCUGAAGAUCUCGUGGAGUGGGAUGGUGGAAGCAGUAGCUAGUCGAUUGGGUUUCGUAGAUUUUGCAGAUUCACGGUAGAGGUGAAAAAAUGAAAGAGAACCGACAUAACUUUUCGUGUCGAUUCCCACAGACGACACCAAAUGUUGAUGCACAAAACUGGAGGUCUUGGAACAACGUAAAUCCGACCGUGAAUCUGCAUGAAAUGUAAAUAACACAAGAUGUAUCCUGGUUCACCCCAAUGUUUGGGCGACGUCCACACUGAUUAUGUAUUUAUCUGAGGGAGAGAGAGCUCUGAGAGCGAGAGCUUUGAGAAGGGGUGGGGAGCCUUAGGAAUUGGCCUCCCCUUUUUGUGAAGGUGAGGAUUCCUUUUAUAGAAUAAGGGCUCCUCACAUAUUACAUAUUUGCCCCUUCCUUUAUUACAUAAUUACAUUUAAAUCCCCCGAGUAUUUGUACGAGAUCUAAAUACGGAGGCCCUAAAUAUGGUAUAAACAAACUCUUUACGAAUAGAAAAAAAAAAUCUUUAGUUUAAGUAAAAAUAACUAGUUUAAAUGUUUUUAAAUAUAAAUAUAGAAUAAAAUUAAAAAAAAAAGGCAUUUUAGUAAUCGUAUUGAUUUUUAUUCCGAUUCAGUUGAUUUAGUAAACAACUUCUAUGAAUUCAGUUUCAUUCCUAUUCCGAUUCCUAAAUAUUUAAGUAAAUAGUUUCAACAAGAAUUUGAUUUUGAUUCCUCCUCAAUUCAAUUCCUCCUCAAUCCAAUUCCUCAUAUUUUGAUUACGGUUACGUAAACGACCCCUUAAUUUUGUCUCAAUUAGGGCACAAUAUAUGAUACCGAAGGAGUAUAAGUUGUCCAAAAUGAACAAAGAUUGACUCUGAGGCAUGUGAGGUAAAAGUUUUUUUAAUAUGAAAUAAUCAAGUAUUUUUCUUAUAUUUGAUGAAGUUCUAUCCCGAUUAUGUACUUAAUUUUAGCUUUAUAUAUAUAUCUAUAUAUUAUUUGUUUAUAUUCUUUUUUCUAAGAGACAAGUUUAUAAUUUUAGAAUAUGAGAGGUUAUUUUAAAAAUAAUAGUGGAUGGGACAACACAUUUUAAUUUUUAUAACUUUUUAUGGUGUGUGUGAUUAUAGCGUGAGUGGGUCUAGCAGUUCUCAAAUUUAAUUGUGCACUCCAAAUUUUUUAUAUUUAGUAAGAAAAAGACUCUCAUGAAAAGUAUACAAUUAAAUUUUUGAUUUGCCAAUAAUAGUUACCUUUAAAUAAAGUAAAAAUAAAAACAAAAUUGUUAUCAAAACAUUUUUUUUUUAAUGUUGAUAUUCAAUUUGUUCUCAUAAUGUUUGAACACAAGUUUCACUUGAGGUCUAUUCGUAAUUAAAUUAUUACCGAAUCACACCAACUCAUAUUCAUAUUUGAUUUGUGGAUUCACUUGAUUUGGGAUCGAAUUCGUUUCAAAUCCCAACCCGUUGAAUUGGUGAAUGUGGAAAGGUAGCAAAACAAUGACAAACUGAAAAAUGAAAUGAAAUUAAUUUAAUUGAUGCUUUAUCGUGCAGCUAAAUUAAAAAUUUUGUUGUCACUUAUAUUAUGGUUUAGUAGUAUCUGUAUUCACUUAUAAGUAAGAGAUCUUAGAUUCUCAUGAAUAAUGAAUUCGAUGUUGAAUUAUGAUUUACUUAUUGUAUAACUUAGCUCAAAUCUGACAUCUCGUGACCAAAUUAUGGUUAAUUUAGCCCAAAUCCAACAUCUAAGGAAAUAUAUCACUGUAUUCAAAUUUGAGUUUUUUUUUUUUCUUUUUUUUUUUUCUGUCGGUAAAACAAUAUAGGGAUGCACGUGGCUAUGGAGGAGAACAACUUUUGCGUUUUCCUUUGGGCCGGAUGAAAAAAAAAAAAAAAAAAAACAAGCAUCAGCACGCCGUUUUGCAACCGCGUCUUACCAAUACCACUGGUUGAAGUCCCAAGCCACUUUUUCUCGUCAAUACUCCAACACUAGUCCUAAACUGGUGCCACUGUCUUGAAUCUCACUGUUCUUUUACCGUAUCAGCUGGCAUAUAUAAAUAUACGCAUACCCUACCACCCACAACAAAAAUUCAAGAAAACCCCAAAAAUCUCCUUCCCUACUCUCACAACAAAAAUCAGAAAAAAAAAAAAAAAAAAAAAAUGAGCGCAGCCUGCAGAGCUUGGGUAGUAGCAGCAAGUAUAGGAGCAGUGGAGGCACUGAAGGACCAAGGAGUCUGCAGGUGGAAUGGGGUUCUGAGGUCAGUCCACCAGAAUGCCAAGAACAACAUCAGAUCCUAUUCCCAAGCCAAGAAACUCUCCGACUCUUCGUCUUCUGCA